rnacentral:misc_RNA from 1 species
GAACGCACCUUGCGCUCCUUGGUAUUCCGAGGAGCAUGCCUGUUUGAGUGUCAUGAAAUUCUCAACCUUUCAAGUUUUUAUUUAAGAGCUUGAUUAGUGUUGGAUUAUGGAAGCAUGCUGGUUCUAGUUAAAUCAGCUCUUCUUAAAUGCAUUAGCAAGAUUAAUCACUAAAAAUCAUCUUUGAUAUGAUAAUUAUCUAUAUCAUUAAUGAAACAGUGUUUGUCUUUUCUUGCUUCUAAUUGGCGUGUCUCUUUGGAGACCGAUGCUUGAAUCAUUUGACCUCAAAUCGAGUAAGACUACCCGCUGAACUUA